GAAUGGGAGCAGCUGAUGUGAAAGCUGCACCUUUGCUGGUUACAGCGCGUCAUUAUUUUUUAUCAGAUGUAUCCUGUUUAGCAAUCUCAUUGUUUAAACAAAAAUUCGAAGCCAUAUGGCAAAGGUGGGGGCGGGGGGAGGCGUUAAAAUUUUGCAGAAAUUGAAUGGGCAAAAGAACGAUUCUGAAUGGUGGUUAAAAAUGAGAACAUAUGGACAGGAUGGAUACAC